rnacentral:RNase_P_RNA from 1 species
CAAGCAGUCUGGGUGAUCGCGCGUACCAGAAGCUGAAAAGCGGUGCGUGAGGAAAGUCCGGGCUCCACAGGGCAGGGUGCUGGGUAACACCCAGUGGGGGUAACCCUAAGGAAAGUGCCACAGAAAUGUAAACCGCCCAGCAGCGCUGGGUAAGGGUGGAACGGUGCGGUAAGAGCGCACCGGCGGUCAGGUGACUGGCCGGCCAGGUAAACCCCACCCGGAGCAAGACCGAAU